ensembl:lncRNA novel transcript
GAGAAAUGACUUGUGCCCUAAACAACCUCCUGCACAGUCUGCAGCUUCCUGAGUCCUGUUCUGAAAUAAAACAUGAGGCUUUUAAGAAUCAUGUGUUCAAUGUAGACAAUGCAAAAUUUGUAGUUAAAUUUGACCUCAGUGCCCUGACUACAAUUGGAAAUGCCAAAAACUCACUAAUAGGGAUGUGGGCGCUAUCUCCAACUGUCUUUGCACUUCUGAGUAAGAAUCUGAUGAUUGUGCACAGUGACCUGGCUGUUCACUUCCCUGCCAUUCAGUAUGCUGUGCUCUACACAUUGUAUCCUCAUUGUACCAGGCAUGAUCACUUUAUCUUUAGUAGCCUCAGUUCUUCCUCUCCUUCUUUGUUUGAUGGAGCUGUGAUUGGCACUGUAACUAUGGCCACAAAGAAACAUUUCUCAAUUAUAUUAAAUCUUCUGGGAAUGUUACUUAAGAAAGAUAACCAGGACACGAGGAAACUGUUAAUGACUUGGGCUUUGGAAGUAGCUGUUGUAAUGAAGAAGUCCGAAACAUAUGCACCUUUAUUCUGUCUUCCGUCUUUCCAUAAAUUUUGCAAAGGCCUUUUAGCCGACACUCUCGUUGAAGAUGUGAAUAUCUGUCUGCAGGCAUGCAGCAGUCUACAUGCUCUAUCCUCUUCCUUGCCAGAUGAUCUUUUACAGAGAUGUGUUGAUGUUUGCCGUGUCCAACUAGUGCACCGUGGAACUUGUAUUCGACAAGCAUUUGGAAAACUGUUGAAAUCAAUUCCUUUAGGUGUUUUCCUAAGCGAUAACAAUCACACAGAAAUUCAAGAAAUUUCUUUAGCAUUAAGAAGUCACAUGAGUAAAGCACCAAGUAAUACAUUCCACCCCCAAGAUUUCUCUGAUGUUAUUAGUUUUAUUUUGUAUGGGAACUCUCAUAGAACAGGGAAGGACAAUUGGUUGGAAAGACUGUUCUAUAGCUGCCAGAGACUGGAUAAGCGUGACCAGUCAACAAUUCCACGCAAUCUCCUGAAGACAGAUGCUAUCCUUUGGCAGUGGGCCAUAUGGGAAGCUGCACAAUUCACUGUUCUUUCUAAGCUGAGAACCCCACUGGGCAGAGCUCAAGACACCUUCCAGACAAUUGAAGGUAUCAUUCGAAGUCUCGCAGGUCACACAUUAAACCCUGAUCAGGAUGUUAGUCAGUGGACAACUGCAGACAGUGAUGAAGGCCAUGGUAACAACCAACUUAGACUUGUUCUUCUUCUGCAGUAUCUGGAAAAUCUGGAGAAAUUAAUGUAUAAUGCAUACGAGGGAUGUGCUAAUGCCUUAACUUCACCUCCCAAGGUCAUUAGAACUUUUUUGUAUACCAAUCGCCAAACUUGUCAGGACUGGCUAACGCGGAUUCGACUCUCCAUCAUGAGGGUAGGAUUGUUGGCAGGCCAGCCUGCAGUGACAGUGAGACAUGGCUUUGACUUGCUUACAGAGAUGAAAACAACCAGCCUAUCUCAGGGGAAUGAAUUGGAAGUAAGCAUUAUGAUGGUGGUAGAAGCACUAUGUGAACUUCAUUGUCCUGAAGCUAUACAGGGAAUUGCUGUCUGGUCAUCAUCUAUUGUUGGAAAACAUCUUCUGUGGAUUAACUCAGUGGCUCAACAGGCUGAAGGGAGGUUUGAAAAGGCCUCUGUGGAGUACCAGGAACACCUGUGUGCCAUGACAGGUGUUGAUUGCUGCAUCUCCAGCUUUGACAAAUCGGUGCUCACCUUAGCCAGUGCUGGGUGUAAGAGUGCCAGCCUGAAACAUUGUCUGAAUGGUGAAUCCAGAAAAAGUGUGCUGUCCAAACCGACUGACUCUUCCCCUGAGGUUAUAAAUUAUUUAGGAAACAAAGCAUGUGAGUGCUACAUCUCAACUGCCGAUUGGGCUGCUGUGCAGGAAUGGCAGAACGCUAUCCAUGACUUGAAAAAGAGUACCAGUAGCACUUCCCUCAACCUGAAAGCUGACUUCAACUAUAUAAAAUCAUUAAGCAGCUUUGAGUCUGGAAAAUUUGUCGAAUGUACCGAGCAAUUAGAAUUGUUACCAGGAGAAAAUAUCAAUCUACUUGCUGGAGGAUCAAAAGAAAAAAUAGACAUGAAAAAACUGCUUCGUAACAUGUGAAGUCCAGAUCCAAGGGAACCUCAGAAAUCCAUUGAAGUUCCAUUGUUAAGAAGUUCUGUUUGUUUGGCAACUGCUUUAAACCCGAUAGAACAAGAUCAGAAGUGGCAGUCUAUAACUGAAAAUGUGGUAAAGUACUUGAAGCAAACAUCCCGCAUCGCUAUUGGACCUCUGAGACUUUCUACUUUAACAGUUUCACAGUCUUUGCCAGUUCUAAGUACCUUGCAGCUGUAUUGCUCGUCUGCUUUGGAGACCACAGUUUCUAACAGACUUUCAACAGAGGACUGUCUUAUUCCACUCUUCGGCGAAGCUUUACGUUCAUGUAAACAGCAUGACGUGAGGCCGUGGAUGCAGGCAUUAAGGUAUACUGUGUACCAGAAUCAGUUGUUGGAGAAAAUUAAAGUUAAGUGGUUUUCCUUUUUUUUUUUUUGUAAGAGAAAAUUAAAGGUGGUUUUUUUUUUUAAAUUUUGCUUUAUUGAGGUUUAUAUUACACAUUCUAAGUGUAUGGUUUGAUGAGUUCUAACAUGUCUUCACUUGUGUGACCACCAAUACGAUCGAGAUAGAGAACAGCGUCUUACCCCAGAAGGUUCCCUUGGGAUCAUCUCCUCAUUUGCCCCUGUCAGCAGUUACUGAUUUGCUUUCUGUCACUAUGGAUUAGACUUGUCUUUACUAAAGUUUCAUGUACGUGAAAUCAUAACAACAUGUUCUCUUGUGUUUGGCUUCUCUUGCUCAGCAUGAUAUUUUUACGGUUCACCCAUAUUGCAUGUAUCAGGAAUAUAAUCCUUUUUAUUAUUGA